AAGUCGUAACAAGGUCUCCGUAGGUGAACCUGCGGAGGGAUCAUCAUAGAAAACAAUAUUCUAAACCCCAAGUGUUAGGAGAAAAGAGGGGAGGGGGAAAAAGGGGUAUUACUCUUUUUUUUUCUCUCCUUCUUUUUUCCUGAUGCUUCAAACAAACGAUCACAACUAAAGAGAGAAAAUUGUGUGGAUACCUGGGUUUUUUUUUCGAGGGGAAUUAAAAGUGCUUGCCUGAUAAUCUGAUUAUUGGAAUUGGAAAGAGAAAACAAUAUACAACUUUCAACAACGGAUCUCUUGGCUCUCA
rnacentral:misc_RNA from 1 species